ACGCACACGCCAUGAUGCUGGUCUGGGAGUUGAGACCAUGUUGUCGAGCUGAGAAGACCUGAAACGACGCAACAAGCAGUGAAAGCAGUAGCCCGGCAAGCCCCUGCGCGCUCAGCCGAAUCGAAGACCAGCCACUCACCUCAAUCACCACCGAAGUCGUGCCCAGCUCCGUGCAAGUUGCCGACCAGCCUCGGGAAGACACCGCCACACUGUGUCGGGUCGUCGCGCACAGUCGUCUGCUGAGAUUUUUCUCAGGCGAACCGCCUUUCCCCGUCUAUAAAGCGAGCCCGACGCCGCACCGUGAUGCCUGGCACCUCCUCAACUCGCUGUCGUGCACCACAACCCGAGCUGAGCCCGUCUUCUUCUCCCUAGCCGAAGAACCAGCUACCUUCGAUCUCCCCAACGAAGACCGUGACCGUCGAUUCGAGUGGCAGGUGAGCACCUCCUCAACGCAAAUCGCCUCCCUUCAGACUCGAUUGAGCCCUUCUUCUACCUUUCAAGAGCCAUCCACGAGCUCCAGUCAACCAUGGCCAUGGCGCCGAGCAGCAGCCUCCCUACCAUGGCCAUGGCGCCGAGCAGCAGCCUCCCUGUGCUUCUCCCGAAAUCUUCCACUCCAGAGAGAUGCGCUAUGGUCUGAGGGUCAUUUUCCCCCACUCCCUGCCCUCUCCAUCGCCCUCUCCAGAAACUGAUUUGAGCCUUGAGCUCAGCCAUGGUAGCUGCCAGGGAAAGGUCGUGAGCUCUUUGUGUCUGUGUUCCUAACAGGGACCACCUCCGGUGAUUAAAGAAAUAAAUCCCAAGUUCCCUCACGUCAAGACCCACUACCAAGCCACCCCAUGCCAAAACGUCAGCAGCCCAUGUGACCCAAUCUGGCAUCAGUCGUAAUUAAUUUAUUCACUGAACUUGUAAAAUCAAUAACUUACACAUAGUAACUCCGCUUAACCCGAUUCUUUUUCCCAAAUUCAUCUAAAAUCAAACUCUAUUUAAUACAGCUAUAUUUGUGUAAUGUAUUGAUAUGUGUCUGCUCGUAUGAUUAUUUGUGUACAAUAAAAUAGAAUCGAUUCCAUAGGAGAACCCGGAGGAGCCGAGAGAACAGGAAGACGCCGCCGCCGACGCAUACCUGAGCGAAGGCAAGUCUCAUCGACCUCUUACUUUGAUCAUGAUUGCUCCUAAGUGAGGUUAAAUUUAAAACUUGCUAGACACAGGAAUUGCAUGAGACGACACACCGAGAGACUGAGAGAAACCUUUGAUUGAAGCCAUGUUACAUAUUGAUGAUUUGUCAUAUUGCAUAUUAUCUUGAUAAUUGAUGAAACUGGAAUGAGACUGAGACCAGGGCAGUGUGGAAUGCGUUGGUGCAUGCGCUACCGUGGUGGUAGACAUGCGGUCGAGCUCUGUCGUGGUGACAUCUCGGGUUGGAUGGUUUUGGGUGGUUACUGCCCUGGUGAUGAACCGUGAACCAAGUAUUGUGGUGCCAUCUCACCUAACCUUUUCUAGUGCGACCACACGUGCUUGGAUGGGGAAGCCUUAGCCUAAUCCCACUGGCCAGCCUGGUAGUCGUGCCGAGGUGGAUAAGAUUUGGGGUGACCUGUGUGGUCAUGACCCGGGGGUUUGUGGGUGGCUAGGCGAGGUUGUGCCACGGCUGGGUGUCGGCUAAUGUCGAAUGAUCCGUUCCCGAACGGUGACGUGCGUGUGGGUAAAGCGUACACCUCUGCAGAGUUUAUAUAAUUCCGUUCGAAUGGUAUAGACGGGUUACGGUGUGGACACCACCAGUGAAUGAGCCACCUGGUUACAUGAGACAACUGAUGAUGAUGAUAAGGACAUUGGUUUACCUUCAGUAAUGCAUUUGUUAACUGCAUUGUUGUCGUUUGAUCAUUGCAUGAUAAACUGUAACUCCCUCCCUGUAAGGGCGAGGUGGGACUUGCUGAGUACUUUUGUACUCACCCCUUGUUGACUUGAUGCAGAGGAUCCAGAUUUCGUGCCCGAGGACUGCGAGUAGUGUUCGUGCCCUACACCUGAGCUAGAAGUGGUAUCGUUGCCCUAGAAGCCACCAUGACCGACGAGGAGAUUACCCUAGCUUUUAUAUGUUGUACUAUCGCGUUUCUGGUCUAUAUUGUAAUAUUAAUCAAACGUUCUUAGUAAAGCUAUGUAUGACCAUGGUACCACUGUUG
rnacentral:lncRNA from 1 species